AAUGUAUCUAACAAUUCAAACAAGAAAACUAACUGUCUUAUCACAAAAAUGAACGAAAAAAAAUAUGUAACACAUCGACAAGCGACAACCAUUGAAUGACAGGCUCUUGCCUAUGGGGAGAAGCACAUAUAUGAUGUGGCGGGGUUAGACAUCUUAGCAGGAUCCCAAACCAUCCCCUUUCCUGGGACAGUGGUGUAAAAUUACAAUAUAAGAACGGACAAUAAAAAUCAGUUGAAAAAGGCUUAACUCAUCAGAUGGAUACAAUCAGAAAUUCUACACUUGUAUAUCCCAUACAACAACCCCAAAAAACCCACUAAGCACAGAAUACACGUUUGAAAAAAAAGAAAAGAAUAUCAAACACAAUACGUAUUUCAAAAAUAAAUACGCUCCAUGAUAAGAAACAAAAAAAUAAUAACGAGAAAACAGUAAAAGAAAAAUAAUACCCAACA
rnacentral:lncRNA from 1 species